AUUGAACGCUGGCGGCAGGCCUAACACAUGCAAGUCGAACGAGUGGCGGACGGGUGAGUAAUGUCUGGGAAACUGCCUGCUCUAGGGGUAUAACUACUGGAAACGGUAGCUAAUACCGCAUACCAUCAGAUGUGCCCAUAUGGGAUUAGCUCUUUGGUGUGGUAACGGCUCACCAAGGCGACGCUCCCUAGCUGGUCUGAGAGGAUGACCAGCCACACUGGAACUGAGACACGGUCCAGACUCCUACGGGAGGCAGCAGUGGGGAAUAUUGCACAAUGGGCGAAAGCCUGAUGCAGCAAGGCCGCGUGUAUGAAGAAGGCCUUCGGGUUGUAAAGUACUGUCAGCGGGGAGGCGUUACCCGCAGAAGAAGCACCGGCUAACUACGUGCCAGCAGCCGCGGUAAUAC
rnacentral:rRNA from 1 species